AGACACAUAUGCAUCUGGUGAUAGACAAGAGACAAGUGAAUAGGGCAAACUGUGUAGAUGAAUAUCAUCAUCUACCGAGAUAUGCGUAUCGAGUUUUAGCUUCGUGGAACAAGUGACUUUUUUCGUUUGUGUCUGUUGCUUUUAGGCCAUUCCGCUGUACUCGAACGCCGUUCUGUUGCAGUGCACCUUCAAGCCGACGGAGACGUCCGCUCGGCUGUACCGAUGACGUUUCGAAAGAACACUGCAGUCUCCGGCGAGCGACAAACGCCCACACACAGACUCUUCUUUUCUACACGAGCCUUUUCCCAGAAAACGCGAGAGAAAACGGUGGAAGCGAAACGGAUGAACUCUGUGGGCGAUGCCGACGAUUCCUACGUCUCCGUCUGUGGACACAUGCAUACACAAUAGGACUAAAUACUACUUGUGGAAACAUCCCCAUUUAUAAACAAAUGUAUAAAUCUACAUAUAUGUACAUAUAUCUAUCUAUCUAUGCAUAUAUAUAUAUAUAUAUAUGUAUAUAUAUAUAUGUAUAUGUAUGUAUAUAUGCGGUCGCAGGUGUGUGUGAAUUCACAAGAUGGCUGUGCAGACCUGUACAUGUGCGAGGAUGCGUUCUGCGUUACACUUCCUUUGAGGCGGUUCUUCGCGUAUCAAGAAGCCCUGUGUGCCACCGGAAAGAAACGACGCUCAGCUGCAGGCGAAGGCGCUUUGCGGCCCAACGAGUUAUCCCCUGCUCUGCCCCGCUUUAAAUAUCUC
rnacentral:lncRNA from 1 species